ACCUGACUGGCUCAGUCAGUAGAGCCUGAGACUUUUAAUCUUGAGGUUGUGGGUUCAAGCCCCACACUAGGUG
rnacentral:tRNA from 1 species